UUUCCGUAGGUGAACCUGCGGAAGGAUCAUUAAAGAGAUCAUGCCCUCACGGGUAGACCUCCCACCCUUUGUUUACAAUACCUUUGUUGCUUUGGCGGGCCCGUUUGGCCCCGCGCUGAACAACCGGCCCCGGCUGGUCAGUGCCCGCCAGAGAACCGAAAACUCUGAAUUAAAUGUCGUCUGAGUACUAUGUAAUAGUUAAAACUUUCAACAACGGAUCUCUUGGUUCU
rnacentral:misc_RNA from 1 species